CUUCACCUGGAAUGCUUUUCCAACAGUCUUGAAGGAGUUCCCACAUAUGCUGAGCACUUGUUGGCUGCUUUUUCUUCAUUCUGCGGUCAGACUCAUCCCAAACCAUCUCAAUUUGGUUGAGGUCGGGAGAUUGUGGAGGCCAGGUCAUCUGAUGCAGCACUCCAUUACUCUCCUUCUUGAUCAACUAGACCUUACACAGCCUGGAGGAGUGUUGGGUCAUUGUCCUGUUGAAAAACAAAUGAUAUUCCCACUAAGCGCAAACCAGAUGGGAUGGCGUAUCGCUGGAGAAUGCUGUGGUAGCCAUGCUGGUUAAGUGUGCCUUGAAUUGUAAAUAAAUCACAGACAGUGUCACCAGCAAAGCACCCCCACACCAUAACACCUCCUCCAUGCUUUACAGUGGGAAAUAUACAUGCAGAGAUCAUCCGUUCACCCACACCGCGUCUCACAAAGACACGGCGGUUGGAACCAAAAAUCUAAAAUUAGGACUCCAGACCAAAGGACUAAUUUCCACCAGUCUAAUGUCCAUUGCUCGUGUUUCUUGGCCCAAACAAGUCUCUUCUUCUUAUUGGUGUCCUUUAGUAGUGGUUUCUUUGCAGCAAUUCGACCAUGAAGGCCUGAUUCAUGCAGUCUCCUCUGAACAGUUGAUGUUGAGAUGUGUCUGUUACUUGAACUCUGUGAAGCAUUUAUUUGGGCUGCAAUUUCUGAGGCUGGUAACUGUAAUGAACUUAUCCUCUGCAGCAGAGGUAACUGGGCCUUCCAUUCCUGUGGCGGUCCUCAUGAGAGCCAGUUUCAUCAUAGCGCUUGAUGGUUUUUGAGACUGCACUUGAAGAAACUUUAAAAUUUAUUGAAAUGUUCCGAAUUGACUGACCUUCAUGCCUUAAAGUAAUGAUGGACUGUUGUUUCGCUUUGCUUAUUUGAGCUCUUCUUGCCAUAAUAUGGACUUGGUCUUUUACCAAAUAGGGCUAUCAUCUGUAUAAAACAACUGAUUGGCUCAAAGGCAUUAAGAAGGAAAAACAUUUGACAAAUUAACUUUUAACAAGGCACAUCUGUUAAUUGAAAUGCAUUCCAGGUAACUUCCUCAUGAACCUGGUUGAGAGAAUGCCAAGAGUGUGCUAAGCUAUCAUCAAGGCAAAGGGUGGCUACUUUGAAGCAUCUCACAUAUAUUUUGAUUUGUUUAACACUUUUUUGGUUACUACAUGAUUCCAUAUGUGUUAUUUCAUAGUGUUGGGCAUGCCAUUGGUAGACAUGCCUGCAGUACCUGGUAAAAGAACAAGCACACAACACAGGAUGUUUAAGGAAGUAUAUUUACAUGUGUGAAUAACUAGCUUACAAACAUUUACAAAUGUGGGAAUAAUGAUUAAUAAAUGGUGAGCAAACGGUUUGUAAAUGUCUUAUAUUUAGUUUGUUAUGGACCCUUAAAAUAAAGUGUUACUGCACAGACAGACAGAGAGAGACACACACUGACACAUGUACUGCCAGUUUAUUGAUAUUUUGGCUCUAUAUUAUAUAUGUAACAGUAAUUAGGGGGGAACAUGUAUGACAGCCAGGUACUUAUAUUUGCAAUAUUAUGAGCCAAUGGUCAUCUAUUUGGCAUUUAUUCAGUAAUCUUUAUUGUGUAUCUAAGAAAUGUGUUUAUUCACUCACAACUAGGAUGUUGCUCAACCCAGCACAGGCAGUGUGGUCCCCUGGUCUUCUGGUGCCAGUGCUGUGGGAAAGGAUGCUGGACUUAGCAGAGACAGCUCAAAGGUGAGUGCAGUGGAGGUAGGAAGAAAACAAAGAGACACAAAUGCACUGCCAGUUCCUUAACAUGUUGGCUCUAUAGUGUAUGUAAUAGCAAUUAACACUUAGGAGUCACAGACAGACAGACAGGCAACAGAGGAGCACAAGGAGAAGCGAAGACAGAGACAGACAGACAGACAGACAGACAGACAGACAGACAGACAGACAGACAGACAGACAGACAGACAGACAGACAGACAGACAGACAGACAGACAGACAGACAGACAGCAGACAGAGAGACAGAGAGACAGACUACAGCAGAGAAGAUGCAGAGAGAGACAGCACAACAGGGAGGCAACAGAGACACAGUUAUAGUGGUGAGCUGUAGUGGUGUUUUUACAUGUUGUAUUUGUCUUAAAACAUGAGCUGGUUAAAAAAGGAUGACUAUGUUUCACCGGUCACUGGUACAGUAAAAGUUGAACUAUAGUUGCCUAUGUUACUGCCUGUGUGGGCGCAUGCAGUGAUACGGGCAGAUACGGGCAGAUGUGACUGAAAUGCCAGGGCUGAAUUUUUGUCCCAGUCCACCCCUGGGUAUAUCUCAUUAAACUCACUUUUAUGCAUUUGGUUUACCUAAAACCCAUAUAGGCUUAUGACAUAUAGUCAUUUAAUCAUUGCGGUUUACUAAGAACUUCACAUUGACUUAAUCAUGAAUAUCGCCACAUUUAGUAACAAUAAACAAGGCGCGAGGUCUGUCCUCAAUGCUAGACAGCGUCACACUGUUGGCAAAGCCAGUGUUAAGCCUAUGACUUCCUGUAGGCCUACUCCAAGUCAACAAUCUCUUACAAUAUGUUCGCCAAUUUAUGAACGUGUGUUUCUAAAGAAAGGAUUGAACUGACUAGGACUAUGUCAUGGGUAUGCCCCAUUAUCUAGGAAGACAACGCUUUAAAAGGAGUUGCUUCCGACAGCUACUGUUAUCACAAUCAGGUGUUGGCAUGCAACUCCAAUUCCUCGCAUAACUGUGCGUGUCAGACUAGAUAUAAAAGACCAUGCGGUAGGUGUGUAGAAACAACGACAACUGCGAAGAAAAUAAAUAAGCUUCACACACCACUUCACCUUCACUGAAGAAGAAAGAGAAUAAUGCAGCUCUCCAACAUUCCUCUUUUUGGCCUUAUCCUGUUCUUAAAUCUGCCGCUGCUCAGCGCAUAUCCUGUCUACAAUGGGUUACUGACCAAUGAUGACAUGAAUGUCUUAAAGGUACUUCUCCAUCGACUUGAAGAGUCCAUUCCUGAGCGGAGCGAGGUCGAGCGGGUCGCCACAGAAAAGUUGGACGACAUGACUCUCGAAGCCAUCGCAAUGGUUGCAGAGGAUGAGAGUGAGCAACAACAAAACCAACUCGACAAAUCCGCAAUAAGAGAGUUCCUCUCGGCUCGGGACCUGAAAACUGUCCGAAACGACUCAACAUCGAAGAGAUACUCGGGCUGCUUCGGGCGAAGGCUAGACCGAAUCGGCUCAAUGAGCUCUCUUGGAUGCAACACGGUUGGCAAAUACAGUGGGUAAAGUUAAGAUCCAAAGAGAAGAUGAAGUCUUACACAUUACCUGGAACAGCAAAGUCAAUACUUACCAAGGGGUAUUCUUAUUUAUAGUCUGUAGGCUACCUAUUUAUUUUCAAUUUAUUACAUUUUGUUUAUUGCCAAUAUAUUUAUUUGAACCAAGGCAAGAUGUUUCUUUAUAUGGUGUCAUUGGUGUACAAUAAAUGUUUACAAUUGCUCAGGAAAUGUUUUGUCUGAUUACUUUCUAUACCAUCCAUUAGGAAAAAUGCGUUAUUCAAAAUGACAGAAUGCCUAAGUCAUAGGUUCAGGCUGAAUAAUCAAUGAGGAAAAUAAUAGGAUGUGAAGUUUGCCUAAACACCUUGGGUUCCUAUUCAUAGGCCUAUCAUAAGCCAAACUGAGUCAGGUGAUUAUCAUUUGGGAUGACCUGACCAUAGCCCACUAACUCACAAGAGACCUAGCAGGGUGACCCUCACAGAACAAUAAAAACACACAGAACAAUACGUUACGGGAGACGCAAAUAAAAACGACUUGUGUCACAUGAGUUGACGCUGGAGAGACGAAGCAGGUGCCGGGAGUAAAACAUUUAAUAAAUAACGGACAUGGAACGAGACAAGAACAGCGUCAGCAAACAGGUAACACAAACAAAAGACAAUCAAUGCAGAAGCAGGGAACAGAACUGGGGAACUGACAAAUAUAGGGGAGGUAAUAACAGGUGGUGAGUGAGUCCAGGUGAGUCCAAUAUCGCUGAUGCGCGUGACGAGG
rnacentral:lncRNA from 1 species